rnacentral:rRNA from 1 species
UACGGAGGGUGCAAGCGUUAUCCGGAUUCACUGGGUUUAAAGGGUGCGUAGGUGGGUUGGUAAGUCAGUGGUGAAAUCCCCGAGCUUAACUUGGGAACUGCCAUUGAUACUAUUAAUCUUGAAUACCGUGGAGGUCAGCGGAAUAUGUCAUGUAGCGGUGAAAUGCUUAGAUAUGACAUAGAACACCAAUUGCGAAGGCAGCUGGCUACACGAAUAUUGACACUGAUGCACGAAAGCGUGGGGAUCAAACAGG